GACGAACGCUGGCGGCGUGCUUAACACAUGCAAGUCGAACGGAAAGGCCCUGCUUUUGUGGGGUGCUCGAGUGGCGAACGGGUGAGUAACACGUGAGUAACCUGCCCUUGACUUUGGGAUAACUUCAGGAAACUGGGGCUAAUACCGGAUAGGAGCUCCUGCUGCAUGGUGGGGGUUAGAAAGUUUCGGCGGUUGGGGAUGGACUCGCGGCUUAUCAGCUUGUUGGUGGGGUAGUGGCUUACCAAGGCUUUGACGGGUAGCCGGCCUGAGAGGGUGACCGGCCACAUUGGGACUGAGAUACGGCCCAGACUGCUACGGGAGGCAGCAGUGGGGAAUAUUGCACAAUGGGCGGAAGCCUGAUGCAGCAACGCCGCGUGCGGGAUGACGGCCUUCGGGUUGUAAACCGCUUUCGCCUGUGACGAAGCGUGAGUGACGGUAAUGGGUAAAGAAGCACCGGCUAACUACGUG
rnacentral:rRNA from 1 species